rnacentral:rRNA from 1 species
CAGUCGCCACGGUAAUACGAAGGGGGCUAGCGUUGUUCGGAUUUACUGGGCGUAAAGCGCACGUAGGCGGAUCGAUCAGUCAGGGGUGAAAUCCCAGAGCUCAACUCUGGAACUGCCUUUGAUACUGUCGAUCUGGAGUAUGGAAGAGGUGAGUGGAAUUCCGAGUGUAGAGGUGAAAUUCGUAGAUAUUCGGAGGAACACCAGUGGCGAAGGCGGCCCACUGGUCCAUUACUGACGCUGAGGUGCGAAAGCGUGGGGAGCAAACAGGAUUAGAUACCCCCGUAGUCCCUGUCUCUUAUAC